UAGGGAAUCUUCGGCAAUGGGGGGAACCCUGACCGAGCAACGCCGCGUGAGUGAAGAAGGUUUUCGGAUCGUAAAGCUCUGUUGUUAAGGAAGAACGAGUGUGAGAAUGGAAAGUUCAUGCUGUGACGGUACUUAACCAGAAAGGGACGGCUAACUACGUGCCAGCAGCCGCGGUAAUACGUAGGUCCCGAGCGUUGUCCGGAUUUAUUGGGCGUAAAGCGAGCGCAGGCGGUUAGAAAAGUCUGAAGUGAAAGGCAGUGGCUCAACCAUUGUAGGCUUUGGAAACUGUUUAACUUGAGUGCAGAAGGGGAGAGUAGAAUUCCAUGUGUAACGGUGAAAUGCGUAGAUAUAUGGAGGAACACCGGUGGCGAAAGCGGCUCUCUGGUCUGUAACUGACGCUGAGGCUCGAAAGCGUGGGGAGCGAACAGG
rnacentral:rRNA from 1 species